UACAGAGGUCUCAAGCGUUGUUCGGAUUCAUUGGGCGUAAAGGGUGCGUAGGCGGCGGGGCAAGUCUGAUGUGAAAUCCCGGGGCUCAACCUCGGAACUGCAUUGGAUACUGCCUUGCUAGAGUACUGGAGAGGAAACUGGAAUUUACGGUGUAGCAGUGAAAUGCGUAGAUAUCGUAAGGAAGGCCAGUGGCGAAGGCGAGUUUCUGGACAGUUACUGACGCUGAGGCACGAAGGCCAGGGGAGCAAACGGG
rnacentral:rRNA from 1 species